GUGUCAGCAGCCGCGGUAAUACGAAGGGGGCUAGCGUUGUUCGGAUUUACUGGGCGUAAAGCGCACGUAGGCGGACUAUUAAGUCAGGGGUGAAAUCCCGGGGCUCAACCCCGGAACUGCCUUUGAUACUGGUAGUCUUGAGUUCGAGAGAGGUGAGUGGAAUUCCGAGUGUAGAGGUGAAAUUCGUAGAUAUUCGGAGGAACACCAGUGGCGAAGGCGGCUCACUGGCUCGAUACUGACGCUGAGGUGCGAAAGCGUGGGGAGCAAACAGGAUUAGAAACCCGCGUAGUCC
rnacentral:rRNA from 1 species